GCAAGUCGAGCGAGAACGUCGCCUUCGGGCGACUAGUAAAGCGGCGAACGGGUGAGUAACACGUGGGUAACCUGCCCUGGAGUGGGGGAUAACCUGGGGAAACUCGGGCUAAUACCGCAUACGACCUCAGCACUGCGGUGCUGAGAGGAAAGCUAGCCAAUUCUUGAAAGCUAGCGCUCUUGGAGGGGCCCGCGCCCGAUUAGCUUGUUGGUGAGGUAACGGCUCACCAAGGCGGUGAUCGGUAGCCGGCCUGAGAGGGCGAUC
rnacentral:rRNA from 1 species